ACUUCUCAGCAGGCUGCCAAUUGCUUCUGCUAAAAGUGCAUGAAUAAAAAUAAUCAGAAAUCACACUGACCUUUCAUUUGGUCAUUCUUUCUAAUGAUUUUAUAUGCUUAUAAAAUGUCAAAAUCAUUUGUUUGGAUCACAGAACAGCAAAUGGCAAGGAGUAGAAAACAGAAAACACUUUUGUAACUGUGGUCGUUUCACCAUGAGUCGCAGUUAAACUCCAUCAGAAUCAUUCUGUCACCUCUUCUCAAAGAAACAAGGAGAAAAUGCAAGGAAAAAAAAAAGUCUUCACAGUUAGAGAUAAGGACAGGGGAUCACUUACCAAUUGAACAGAAAAGGGAAAAACAGAACCACUACUUCAUAGUCAUUAUCUGCUCCUGCUCCACUGUGGGUUCCCUCCCUUGGGAUGCCACCCUUUCCACACUCCCCACAGGCUGCAGAUCCAGCCCAGAGUGCUCCUGCAGGGGUAUCCAUUCCUCCUUCAGGCCUCAUCCCUUCCACACCAUGGGCUCUUACAUGGCUGCACGGGCAGAUCUGCUCUGUGCAGUGCCCUUGGGCUUCAGGGGAUGGUCUCCUCCUCCAUGGCCCUCUCCUGAGAUGCAGGGAGCUGCUGCUUUGUGCCUGAAGUUCCUCCUGCCCUCCUUCUGCACUGACCUUGGUGUCCACAGGGCUACUCUCUCAUAUCCCUCAACCCUCUCUUCUAGCUGUUGUUCUGUGGCAUUACUUCACUUCCUUAUAUAUGCUCUACUAGAGUACACCCAGUGUUGCUCACAGCUCAGUUCUGGCAGCAGUGGGCCCGUGUUGGAGCAGCUGGAGCUCUGAUCUGACAUGGGUCAGAGCUGGGCUUUGCUCACAGAGGCUGCCCUGCAGCAUCCCCUGUAUCAAAGCCUUGUCACCUAAGCCCAGUACAGUAAUUUAGUUGUUCUUUCAUUUUGAUGUGAACUGAACUCAUUGUUCACAGUAACACAAAUUCACAUCAGUAAUGCUCAUCAUUAAAAAAUUAUAACUGAGUGUUCUGAAAGAAAAAUUAGGUGAAAGUCUCCUAGUGGCGCAUGUGAAACGUGCCAUGAACUCCAAAAAUGCAGCAGGGAGUUCCAAAGAUGUAAUAGUAUUUGGAGAGUUUAUGUAAUUAUUUCCUCAAUAUAGUAAUAGCUGACACUACUGGCUAUGGUAAGAUAUGUUUCAAAUGUAAGAGCAGUCUUCAGAUAAUCAAAAAGCUGAAAAUACAAGGCCUUUCUACUGCCUGAUUUUAUCAGCAUGAUAACUUUUUCCACUGUGAUUUCAUUCUUGACUUGUCUGCGUUCGGUACUACCUACUACACAGACAGAGCAGUCUUCCCUCCUAGAAUAAGUCUUAAAAAAAUCAUUCAGUAAGUCACUGAUUUACAGAAUUAUUAUAUGUUUUCUCUGCUUUAACUGUUGCCAUUUGGGAUUUUGCUAGAAAAUUUUGCUUUGAAUUGGACACUCUGAAUAGAUGUGCCCCCUUCAGCCAUGUGGAAAAAGAUAAAUAGAAAUCUACAUAAAUAAAUGAGUACUGAAAUAAAUAGCAAUAGAUCUAAUUGUUUCCAUGAUAUGAAAAAAUAUUUUUAAAAAUGAUGUUAUUUAGUGAAUGAAGUAGGAAAAUCUUUCUUGUUUUUAUUGUCAGAUUACAUGGAAAAAAAUUGUUUGUUACUUGAGAGCUCAGUGUAUGGAGUGACCACAAAAUAAGUACACAGAGUUCAGCAGCAAUUCUUCUAUAGAUGCUCUGGAACAAAUGGUUCCUGUUUUACAAUGCUGGCCCACAAUACCAGAGGCAGAUGUUAGCACCAUGGCAGUAGAGACUGAACCUUCCUGACAUUAUAGCACCACAUUUUGUUGCUGUGUGAUAGAUAGCAGCAGAGGAACAGUCUGACAAAAUGGUGUCUGACAUGGAAGUGUGAAUGAAGCAAAGGUGUGGAAUUAAAUACCUCAAUGCAGAAAAAAAAAAAAAAUGGCACCUGUUGAUAUUCAUCAACAUUUGCUGAAUGCUUAUGGAGACCAAACAGUGGAUGUGAGCACAGUGAGGCCCUGGGUGGUGCAUUUCAGCAGUGGUGACAGCAACAUGUCUCUCUUCUGCUGGUGUAGAUAGUUAUGAAUGUAGCAUGCAGGCACCUGUUCACCACUGGUGAAAACAUAUAGCUAGUGGUGGUGACUAUGCUGAAAAAAAAUAUAUAUAACUUUAUAACUGAGAUUUUGCUCUAUGUAACAAUGUUAUUGUGCUCUUAGUAUCUGUUGUAGUUUCCUCGGAAAUAAAUAGGAGGCAUUACUUUUGGAGAAACCUAUGUAUCUUGAACACAUCUUGGGAGAACUCCCCUUCUGCUGGAUUGUACCUCAGAGAGAAUAAAUAAAGCAUCUCUUCUGCAUAGAUGAUCCUGAGUUACAUGUUGCAAAUUUCCCAUAAAAAUGCAGCUGAUUUUUAUUUAAUUAUCCUGGUUAUCAUCAUAACUCCUGACUUUGUUUACUGUUAUUGUGGUUCUACUUCCAACUGGAAAAAAAAUCAUAGCUGGAGUAAUAUGAGGAAAGGAAGAAACUGGGGCCUGAAUGUAUGAUGUAAAUGAUUGUCAACAAUCAGAUUCAAAGAGAUAGAUUUUAUCCCAACAUUCCUAAACAUAAUUUUCUCAAUAUAUGCAGGAGAAAAAUGUAUUCAACUUCAUCAGCAGCAGAUAGCAUGAGGGAUGGAAAUAAAAUUGGAGUCUUACAGAUAAUGAACAAAUAAUAGUUAUUGUAAAAUGUUUUGUUAUUCAAAUUCUAUCAAUUUAAUUAUUUUAAUGGUAGUCAAAUACCCAAAUACUUUCAGAAAUCUGUCCAAGAAAUACUAUGCUGUAUAAUCAGGUACAGCUGACAGGAAUGAAUUAGCAUAUUUGCUUGAAUAAAUUUCAAGUUAUUGUUGCACUGUGAAUUUCUGCAGUCGGAUGCUUUUAAUGAACCUGAGAUUUAUAAUACAAAGAGGACACAUAAAUGAAAACAAGGUUACAUGUUAGAGGAGAAAAAAAGUUAACAACACAUAAAAUGACUACAGAGCCUGAUUUAAAGUAUGACCUUUCUCUCAAGCUUCCUGUCCACCCACACACCCCACAGGCAAUGCUACAACACCAGACCAUCAGGGUGGAUAACCCAGCACAGCGGUCAGCCCGCACAAGGUGUGGGAAAAUACUAAACGUAACCCAAGAGCUGGUUAGACGCUUAGUUGUCUUAGUUUUUACUUAAAGAAAAGCUGUUUAGGUUCAUUAUUUCAAUGCAUAAAAAAAAAAGAAACAAAAGAGGUGGGGGGAAGGGGCUAGUUGUAGCACUAAAUGUUAUGACUAUAACAUAUAAUAACAUAUUAUAUAUAUAUAUAUGUUAUUAUAUAUAUAUUAUAUAUGUUUAUAUAUAUAUAUUAUAUAUAUAUAAUAACAUUCAAUAAAAGUGUCUUCAGGUUACUUCAGGAAAUAAAUAAUCUUGUUUAUAACCACAUCCAUCUAACUGAUGUUUUCCCUUCCUUCUAGUUACUCUACAAUCAUAGAGCGGCUUGAGUUGAAAGGGAUCUCAAAGAUCAUCUAGCUUCAAUUGAUCAGCCAUGGAAAGAGUUGCCAACCACUAAAUCAGUCACUAGAUCAAUCUGCCCAGGGCCUCAUCCAACUUGACCUUGAAUAUCUCUAGGCACAGGGAAGUCACUUAUCUGAGUAUAGUUUUCCAGCACCUCACCAUCCUCCCAGUGAAAAAUGAAAUCCCGACAUCUGAUCUAAGCCUCUCCCUCUUGUCCUAUCAGCCUCUACCAUGUAAACAUUUGAUUCUCCUCCUUCUUCUUCAAGACCAAUUUAGAGAGAAAAAUAAGCAUGGGAUUGGUAAGUGAUAAAGUGGACAGAUAUUUAAUAUUAUUUUUACUCUAAACAUUAUUGUAACAUAAGAGAUAUAUGCAAUAAAGGGUGAUAAAGAAGGAAAUCAGAAAGAAUCCUGAAAAUCCUCAAUGGAGUCUGAAGGUACUGCUUGAAUGAGUGGAACAUGGCCUUUCCUAGAUAACCUUUGGUCUUAGAGCUAUUUUAGCUCUUACAGCUCACCCUAUUUCCAUACUACAGAAUCUUACAAAUUACAUCAAUGGAGUACUACUUACUCACUAAAGCAAUGCCAACAGAAAAUUUAAUUUCUUCUUUAUUUUAAAGGGAGACGUCCAUCUCCAUGUUUUUAAACUCCUCAUAGUUAUUUAUACACACACCCACACACUUUUUUCUUUAUUUGCCAUGCAAAGUUUCCUGGGGCAGAAAUACAGACAUUUUGCCUGUGCACUACUUAAUUAAGAAUUCACAGUAUUGCAAAUUAAUGCAUUAAUCAACCUUCUUGUCAGUUUAUCUUAAGUAGUUUAACAUUUAUGAUGCAAGCCAUUAGUAAUAAUUCCUCACUCUUGGGAAAGGGCCAGUUUAAACCACAGCCAGUGUCUGCUAGUUUCAGAAACUAUUAAAAAGACAAAUAAAGAUCCUUUUUCAUAGGAAUUCAUAUCAUUGUUAAAAAAAUAUAUUGAAUGCAUAAAUACUAAAAUGCAGCAAAAUUUAAUAUAUCCCUGACAAUAUAUUUAAAUAUAUACCUAAUAUUGAGCUAUUCUGGAUUAGACAGGAGAGUCCAUAAAGUUAACAGCAUUGGUGUCAAGAAAGAAAAUAUGCUAAUACAAUUCAUAACAAUUACAUUUUCAGAGUGAUUCAAAUUAGAUUCAGGAAUGAUGAAAAUGGCUAUUAGAUUCAGGAGAAAAGCAAGGCUGCACACGGAAGGCCACAGUAGCCAGCUGACAGAAAUUACCUGUAUGCAUUCCAUCAUUUGGCACAAAAAAGUAGAUUCUUGGAAGAUACUGGAAGCAGUGAACGUCAAAACAGUAUUAAAAAAAAUCAAAUAAAUAAAAUUUCAUCUUAAAAUAAUUGAAGCAAUUGUUUACAAGCAUUUCUGGUUCAAAAGAUCAAAAUGUUGAAAAGGAAAGAUGGGAUAAAUCACAUUAUAUAGUGCUGUACUUCCAACACUUUACCUAUGUUUUCUGAAAACAACCAACCAACAACAACACAACACCACCACGACCACACCCAAACCUAUACUUUUUCAUCCAUUAAAUUUCCUCGGAAGUACAUGCUUUAGAACUACAAGCAGAAAAGAUAACACAUUGCAGGCCAAAAAAAAGAAAAAACACUUAAACACUUUUGGAGCCACAAGUAGAUAUAUGUACAUAAUUAUGACGAUCAUUAUUAGAUGUUUGCACUGAGAGAAAUGUUAUGAAAGAGGUACUGAACCUUUGACUUAUUCCUUAUCUGCUGGUGUGGCAGUGACCUUUAGAGAAGUUUUAAAGUCUGUGUAUAUGUGAUCAGUAGUCUUUGAUAUUUUUACAGGAGAUUUUAAGGUGGUUCAAAGAGACAGAAGGCAGCAAUACAAAGUAACCAAGGCUACAGCUAUUCCUCAGAGAUAACAAGAAACAGCCUAGGAUAGAGGAAACAUAGCCUUAAGUUCUGAAAUGGAGAAGCAGAUGAAAGCUGGAACUCACUCAUCAGACACAUAUGCUGUACCACCUGCUCGUUUGUGCAAAAGAGAAAUAGGAUGAGCACCAACUUCUCUGGGAAAUUAGCUUUUGUGCUUUCUUUAUAAAUAUCCAACAAGAACAGUGGAACAUGUAGUGCCAAAGCAAAUAGUUGCCAUUGCUUUCCUUUUCACUCCCCAAUUCUGCAUCUGAUUGGAAUAUCUGAAUAUGGAUUUUGAGUCUUGCAUACACCGAGUGAAUCUGCAGCCUUGUUCCCGCUCUGCACUACACCACUGCUAUUCCUGUGCUUUGCUGCCCAAUCUUGCUGACCCUUGCCUUGUAACUUUCAGACUAGGACCUACUUUGUCACUGCAGACUUGAUUGGCCACCAUGGGCUGUUGCCCAAACCUGGCUUCUGUCACUGGUCCUGUUCCCAUGGUCCAAGUACUGACAGACUGCACAGUGGCUGGUCAGGACGUUGGUUCUUUGUGCCUCGGUGGUUCUGGCAUGUGAUUUUCCUCAUAUAGAAGUAAGGGAGCAGCAAGGUUGGGCUGCUGUUUGUUGUGGCUUUUUGUUGUUGCUUGCUUUGCUUUUCCCUUAUUGGUAUUUUUUUGUUCAUAAUUACUAUUCAGCUGCUAGCAUCUCCACUCAAUCUAAAAGGUCAGUUUAUGGAGAUUGAGUUCCUAUUAUUCCCAAUUCAGCAACUUAGUUAAAAACUUAUUAGAUACUUAUUGAAGAAAGCAUUGCUCACUGGGAUGCUGAUCUGCAUUUGCUCUCUUAUUAAAGAUCAGUGUUAGGGAAGGCUGGAAGAACAUGAAGGACUUGUAAUUUAUCCACAGAAAAGCAGGACAUAGGAACAUCUACAUUUUCCAGUAGUUCUGGCAAAAUCUUCAAGGUCUGGCAGAUGUAGAAAGAGACACAAGGUGGAAGAAAAAAGUACUCUAAAUCUCAAAUGCACAUACUAUUACUCAGGCAUGAACCUGCUUCCUUACUGAAACUUUUCUGUCUUAGGGUGGAAACAAGAAUUGUCACAAUAGCUGGAUAAAAGAAUAAAAAAUGCUGAGGGAGCUGGGCUUGUUCAGCCUGGAGAAAAGAAGGCUGCAAGGUGACCUAAUUGCAGCCUUUCAGUACCUAAAGGGAGCCUACAAACAGGAGGGAAGUCAACUCUUUGAAAGGGUAGAUAACAGUAGAACAAGGGGAAAUGGUUUUAAGUUGAAGGAGAGAAGAUUUAGUUUGGAUGUGAGGGGGAAGUUCUUUACUAUGAGAGUGGUGAGGUGCUGGAACAGGCUGCUCAGAGAGGUUGUGGAUGCCCUGUCCCUGGAGGUGUUCAAGACCAGGUUUGAUGGGGCCCUGGGCAGCCUGGUCUAGUAGUUAGUGCGGAGGUUGGUGGCCCUGCCUGUGGCGGGGGGUUGGAGUUUGAUGAUCCUUGAGGUCCCUUCCAACCUGGACCAUUCAUUGAAAAAUGUCUUCACUCCCAAAGCACAAAUAUUCUGCAGAAAAAUAGUUUACAUUCACUGAGGGUGAGAUGAACUGAAUCUCACGUCUUUCUCUAAAUAUUCUCAGAUAAGGCAUAACCACAACAGAUUGAAACAUCAGUUCCUCAACAAGAGUUACCACUCCUAAUCAGCGCUGUUGAUGACUUGCAGUGGCUUCUCCUAACCUCAUUAGAACCACACAGAGACGAACCUAACCUCCUAAUAAUACUCUUUUUCUUUCCCCCUUCAGUUUUAUCUGUAAAGAAGUGCAAGGUGAGGUUUAUGAUUUUGGAACUGAGCUUCUGGAUGAAGCAGAUGUUGACCGGUUCUUGUGGCUCUUUUGCACCCACAGUUCGAGAAGGAAACAGUUCAGAAUACCUCUUUGCUGGAAAUAAUGAUCACUGAAUGUAGCCUGUCUGCACUACAGCGAUAUGAGAAAAACUUUUAAAAGCAGUUAAUGCUUUAGGGAUUAAAUGCUUGCAAGCUGACUGAAUUGUCCACAUGACAAGUUUUCAUGACAACACACAGGACAAAACAAAUGAGGCUGAUGGGGCACUUAAAACGUGCUGCUCCAGCUCAGAGUACUCAGGCUAGCUAACACAGCUUUCAAAUGCAUAAUAUAUGCCAUUUAGGCAUUAUAAGGCUUAAAUUAUAGGAGUAUUCCAAACCACAAGCAGUUUGCUCAGCUUCUUGGUUAAUGCACUUUUACAGUUCUGACAGACACUUUGGAAUACGUAUCCCAAAGCAAUGCAUAAUCGGAGAUAGGCACUAGGUGGCGUGGAAGAGCUAGUUUGCAGGAAAAUACGUUUGUGCAGUUCUUAGAUUGACCAAUAUUCUUUUGCCACAGCUCAUGUUGCAGUGAGAGUCGUUCAUAAUAAUUGAUCUGGUUCUCUAGAUUUGAUCAGAUACAAAUGUAAAAACUAAAUCAAAGUAAGUGUUUAUUGAGGUAAUCUUCUCAACUGUUUUUUUUUUCUCCCUCUUUCUGAAGUUACAAAUAUCUUCCCAUAAGAAAAAAGACUAUUUUCACUUCCCCCCCCCCCCCUUUCUUUUCAUUUUUGAAGUACUUCCUUAACCCAGCCUUGUACAUUCUGAAAUGCUGGGGUGUUCUUCCAAAGGAGUGUGUUUAAUCUUAGCCUGUAUUUCUGUGGAUUAUUUCUGUG
ensembl:lncRNA